AAAAUUAGAGAGAACAACAUGGCGGCUGAUGCGAAAAAUGACGUUGGAAGCAAGAUUGGCUGUAGUUUGUGUCCAGAACCUGUACGUCAUUGGUACUUUUAGCCUCAUAUGGGUUUAUAAACUUGUGAUCCCUUACUGAGUGGUUCGAAAAUUUGAGGGAAAUGGCUGAAGUUGGUUUAAAACGCUGGGAAUGGUGAAUGUUUAUGCCCCCACGUGUCACUUGGAAUACAUGUUACUAGUGGUUACAGAAAAGCGAUCUUCAACUUGCAAGAGUUCAGGUAAACAGGGGAUUGUUUGCAGAGACCUCGAUUGUACCUGGACUGUUCGGGAUAUGAACAUGAACUGGAAGAUAUAUCGCAACGAUAAGUUCAAAAGAAGGUUAAGAUAACUCAGAGUUUUAAAACAAUUUUAAAAAAAAGAGGCUUAAAUGGGAAGAAAACAAGGAAUGCACAAGCGGUGGACGAAAGGUUGCGAGAAGGAACAAAGCGGAAUGAAAAGGCCCAAUACAGAAUCGGAGUGGAAAGGAAGGAGAAAUGUCAAGAAUAUCUCACUCUCUCUUGCAAGACUUGUACAUGUACUUUUAUAGCUUUACCGUUGUUUUUAUUAAGCUCGUACACUUGUACAGUGUAGUGCAACUGGAGAGAAAGCGCAAAUUGGGAGCCAGAUAACGGUACAGACGGACAUCCUUGUUGUAUUUGAAGAAUAAUUUUUCUGAGUCUUUUGGCGGGAAAUGUGGGUAUGGCCCACUUGAUGUUCUCUCUACCUUACUUUAAGAUGUCAUGAAAAAUGACCAUCUCCAGCAAGAGCCAUUGAAAAAUGUCAACCUUGGAAUGAACGAAAAACUGGGGGUCGAUCCGCCACCGUCCCCCACCACACCCACCUCUUAUAGACAGUUGUUUUGUAAUUUGAGACAAGUUCAUCCUUAUGGUGAAACUACAUCUUUAUUACGAACACAUGCGUAUUGUAAGACACAUGCUUAUUACGAUAUGUCGUACCACAAUGUUAAACUUGUC
rnacentral:lncRNA from 1 species